rnacentral:rRNA from 1 species
ACUAAGCGUACACGGUGGAUGCCCUGGCAGUCAGAGGCGAUGAAGGACGUGCUAAUCUGCGAUAAGCGUCGGUAAGGUGAUAUGAACCGUUAUAACCGGCGAUUUCCGAAUGGGGAAACCCAGUGUGAUUCGUCACACUAUCAUUAACUGAAUCCAUAGGUUAAUGAGGCGAACCGGGGGAACUGAAACAUCUAAGUACCCCGAGGAAAAGAAAUCAACCGAGAUUCCCCCAGUAGCGGCGAGCGAACGGGGAGCAGCCCAGAGCCUGAAUCAGUGUGUGUGUUAGUGGAAGCGUCUGGAAAGGCGUGCGAUACAGGGUGACAGCCCCGUACACAAAAAUGCACAUAUUGUGAGCUCGAUGAGUAGGGCGGGACACGUGGUAUCCUGUCUGAAUAUGGGGGACCAUCCUCCAAGGCUAAAUACUCCUGACUGACCGAUAGUGAACCAGUACCGUGAGGGAAAGGCGAAAAGAACCCCGGCGAGGGGAGUGAAAAAGAACCUGAAACCGUGUACGUACAAGCAGUGGGAGCACGCUUAGGCGUGUGACUGCGUACCUUUUGUAUAAUGGGUCAGCGACUUAUAUUCUGUAGCAAGGUUAACCGAAUAGGGAGCCGAAGGGAAACCGAGUCUUAACUGGGCGUUAAGUUGCAGGGUAUAGACCCGAAACCCGGUGAUCUAGCCAUGGGCAGGUUGAAGGUUGGGUAACACUAACUGGAGGACCGAACCGACUAAUGUUGAAAAAUUAGCGGAUGACUUGUGGCUGGGGGUGAAAGGCCAAUCAAACCGGGAGAUAGCUGGUUCUCCCCGAAAGCUAUUUAGGUAGCGCCUCGUGAAUUCAUCUCCGGGGGUAGAGCACUGUUUCGGCAAGGGGGUCAUCCCGACUUACCAACCCGAUGCAAACUGCGAAUACCGGAGAAUGUUAUCACGGGAGACACACGGCGGGUGCUAACGUCCGUCGUGAAGAGGGAAACAACCCAGACCGCCAGCUAAGGUCCCAAAGUCAUGGUUAAGUGGGAAACGAUGUGGGAAGGCCCAGACAGCCAGGAUGUUGGCUUAGAAGCAGCCAUCAUUUAAAGAAAGCGUAAUAGCUCACUGGUCGAGUCGGCCUGCGCGGAAGAUGUAACGGGGCUAAACCAUGCACCGAAGCUGCGGCAGCGACACUAUGUGUUGUUGGGUAGGGGAGCGUUCUGUAAGCCUGUGAAGGUGUACUGUGAGGUAUGCUGGAGGUAUCAGAAGUGCGAAUGCUGACAUAAGUAACGAUAAAGCGGGUGAAAAGCCCGCUCGCCGGAAGACCAAGGGUUCCUGUCCAACGUUAAUCGGGGCAGGGUGAGUCGACUCCUAAGGCGAGGCCGAAAGGCGUAGUCGAUGGGAAACAGGUUAAUAUUCCUGUACUUGGUGUUACUGCGAAGGGGGACGGAGAAGGCUAUGUUGGCCGGGCGACGGUUGUCCCGGUUUAAGCGUGUAGGCUGGUUUUCCAGGCAAAUCCGGAAAACUAAGGCUGAGGCGUGAUGACGAGGCACUACGGUGCUGAAGCAACAAAUGCCCUGCUUCCAGGAAAAGCCUCUAAGCAUCAGGUAACAUCAAAUCGUACCCCAAACCGACACAGGUGGUCAGGUAGAGAAUACCAAGGCGCUUGAGAGAACUCGGGUGAAGGAACUAGGCAAAAUGGUGCCGUAACUUCGGGAGAAGGCACGCUGAUAUGUAGGUGAAGUCCCUCGCGGAUGGAGCUGAAAUCAGUCGAAGAUACCAGCUGGCUGCAACUGUUUAUUAAAAACACAGCACUGUGCAAACACGAAAGUGGACGUAUACGGUGUGACGCCUGCCCGGUGCCGGAAGGUUAAUUGAUGGGGUCAGCGCAAGCGAAGCUCUUGAUCGAAGCCCCGGUAAACGGCGGCCGUAACUAUAACGGUCCUAAGGUAGCGAAAUUCCUUGUCGGGUAAGUUCCGACCUGCACGAAUGGCGUAAUGAUGGCCAGGCUGUCUCCACCCGAGACUCAGUGAAAUUGAACUCGCUGUGAAGAUGCAGUGUACCCGCGGCAAGACGGAAAGACCCCGUGAACCUUUACUAUAGCUUGACACUGAACAUUGAGCCUUGAUGUGUAGGAUAGGUGGGAGGCUUUGAAGUGUGGACGCCAGUCUGCAUGGAGCCGACCUUGAAAUACCACCCUUUAAUGUUUGAUGUUCUAACGUUGACCCGUAAUCCGGGUUGCGGACAGUGUCUGGUGGGUAGUUUGACUGGGGCGGUCUCCUCCUAAAGAGUAACGGAGGAGCACGAAGGUUGGCUAAUCCUGGUCGGACAUCAGGAGGUUAGUGCAAUGGCAUAAGCCAGCUUGACUGCGAGCGUGACGGCGCGAGCAGGUGCGAAAGCAGGUCAUAGUGAUCCGGUGGUUCUGAAUGGAAGGGCCAUCGCUCAACGGAUAAAAGGUACUCCGGGGAUAACAGGCUGAUACCGCCCAAGAGUUCAUAUCGACGGCGGUGUUUGGCACCUCGAUGUCGGCUCAUCACAUCCUGGGGCUGAAGUAGGUCCCAAGGGUAUGGCUGUUCGCCAUUUAAAGUGGUACGCGAGCUGGGUUUAGAACGUCGUGAGACAGUUCGGUCCCUAUCUGCCGUGGGCGCUGGAGAACUGAGGGGGCUGCUCCUAGUACGAGAGGACCGGAGUGGACGCAUCACUGGUGUUCGGGUUGUCAUGCCAAUGGCACUGCCCGGUAGCUAAAUGCGGAAGAGAUAAGUGCUGAAAGCAUCUAAGCACGAAACUUGCCCCGAGAUGAGUUCUCCCUGACUCCUUGAGAGUCCUGAAGGAACGUUGAAGACGACGACGUUGAUAGGCCGGGUGUGUAAGCGCAGCGAUGCGUUGAGCUAACCGGUACUAAUGAACCGUGAGGCUUAACC